UCCAGGUGCCGCCACGCCGGGCGCUAGUGUGCCAGGCCCGCAUCGCUUUCUGUGUCCUCGUCCCCGCUGACGGCCGGCGCUGAGGUGGCGCCGCGUGGGCGCCACGUCGGACAUAAUCUAGGGUUGCGGGGGUACUGAGCCAGCCGGCUGCGGCGCGGGGGGACCGGAAGGUCCCGGCCCCUUUCCGGUCUCAGCAGCAGCCCGAACGGGUGGCCUAGUGUUUCGGCCCCGAGAUUUUGCGGGUCCCACUGAGCCGGGGCUUACUCCCCUCCCACGUACUCCGGGCCAGAGGCCCAAGGUUUAGUCAGAUCUCUUGGGCUAGGAUGCUGAGUCCUGUCAUGACUGGACCAGUUAGUGCCUCCGCCUGAUCCCUGGGAGGAAAAGCAUAACACCCACGCCCUCCCAGCCAUAUUUUCCAGAGAUACUCCUGCCAAAUUCGGGAUUUGGGAUGUCUGUGCAUGAUACGUAGCAGAUAAUUUGCAACAUGCAAGUUCCGUGCUAUCAGGAAGACUAAAAUUAAUGUAUGGAGACUUCCCGUUUUUAAUGAGCCACAUAAGCCAGUUGUAGUGGAUGACACAGAACUGUAAAAUAUUCCAAAGGCUGCCACAGUCCCAAGAACUAGAGAUAACUGCCACCCGCAAAUCAAGCACAGAAGAAAGGAAAAUUGUGUAACAGUAGUAUGAUAUGGAGGAAACUGCUCUCGCUGACAGCUCCAGAAGUGAUAUUUAAACCAAUAAAGAAUGUCAAUGAGGAAGCAUGUGACUCCAGAUGCUGUUGGCAGGCAUCCUAUGACCACAAAGGGAGCUCACUUUGGAAUGAAGCUGAUGGUCUGAGGAAAGAAAAUAGGGCUUCGAUGAUACUGUUAAACAAUCUAACACACUGAUCCUACAACCUUUCUGGAUUUUCUAAUGUGUAAACCAAUAAAGCCACUUGUUUCAACCAG